rnacentral:rRNA from 1 species
ACGAACGCUGGCGGCGUGCCUAAUACAUGCAAGUAGAACGCACAGUUUAUACCGUAGCUUGCUACACCCUAAACUGUGAGUUGCGAACGGGUGAGUAACGCGUAGGUAACCUGCCUGGUAGCGGGGGAUAACUAUUGGAAACGAUAGCUAAUACCGCAUAAUAUUAAUUAUUGCAUGAUAAUUGAUUGAAAGAUGCAAUUGCAUCACUACCAGAUGGACCUGCGUUGUAUUAGCUAGUAGGUGAGGUAACGGCUCACCUAGGCGACGAUACAUAGCCGACCUGAGAGGGUGAUCGGCCACACUGGGACUGAGACACGGCCCAGACUCCUACGGGAGGCAGCAGUAGGGAAUCUUCGGCAAUGGACGAAAGUCUGACCGAGCAACGCCGCGUGAGUGAAGAAGGUUUUCGGAUCGUAAAGCUCUGUUGUAAGAGAAGAACGGGUGUGAGAGUGGAAAGUUCACACUGUGACGGUAUCUUACCAGAAAGGGACGGCUAACUACGUG